rnacentral:rRNA from 1 species
UGAGGAAUUUUGCGCAAUGGGAGCAAUCCUGACGCAGCCACGCCGCGUGGGUGAUGAAGGCCUUCGGGUCGUAAAGCCCUGUCAGGUGGGAAGAAUGUCCCGGGACUGAACAGGUUCCGGGAGUGACGGUACCACCAGAGGAAGCACCGGCUAACUCCGUGCCAGCAGCCGCGGUAAUACGGAGGGUGCAAGCGUUAUUCGGAAUUACUGGGCGUAAAGCGCGUGUAGGCGGUCCUGCAAGUCUGACGUGAAAGCCCCGGGCUUAACCCGGGAAGGGCAUUGGAAACUGUGGGACUGGAGUACUGGGGAGGAUGUGGGAAUUCCCGGUGUAGAGGUGAAAUUCGUAGAGAUCGGGAGGAAUAGCAGUGGCGAAGUCGCCCAUCUGGACGGUAACUGACGCUGAGACGCGAAAGCGUGGGGAGCAAACA